ensembl:lncRNA
GUAGACGGAGGGGAGUGAUGGGGGAGACAGGUGGACGUAGACGGAGGGGAGUGAUGGGGGAGACAGGGGGAAGUAGACGGAGGGGAGUGAUGGGGGAGUAAGGAGGAAGUAGACGGACGGGAGUGAUGGGGGAGACAGGUCGACGUAGACGGAGGAGAGUGAUGGGGGAGACAGGUGGACGUAGAUGGAGGGGAGUGAUGGGGGAGACAGGUGGACGUAGAUGGAAGGGAGUGAUGGGGGAGACAGGUGGACGUAGAUGGAAGGGAGUGAUGGGAGAGACAGGUGGACGUAGAUGGAAGGGAGUGAUGGGAGAGACAGGUAGACGUAGACGGAGGGGAGUGAUGGGGAGACAGGUGGACGUAGAUGGAAGGGAGUGAUGGGGGAGUAAGGAGGAAGUAGACGGACGGGAGUGAUGGGGGAGACAGGAGGAAGUAGACGGAGGGGAGUGAUGGGGGAGACAGGAGGAAGUAGA